UACGGGGGGGGCAAGCGUGGUUCGGAAUUACUGGGCGUAAAGGGCUCGUAGGCGGCCAACUAAGUCAUACGUGAAAUCCCUCGGCUUAACCGGGGAACUGCGUCUGAUACUGGAUGGCUUGAGUUCGGGAGAGGGAUGCGGAAUUCCAGGUGUAGCGGUGAAAUGCGUAGAUAUCUGGAGGAACACCGGUGGCGAAGGCGGCAUCCUGGACCGAUACUGACGCUGAGGAGCGAAAGCCAGGGGAGCAAACGGG
rnacentral:rRNA from 1 species